rnacentral:lncRNA from 1 species
AAGUUACCGUAGUAGUGAGGAUCAAGUUGCUAAUCAGUCAAGAGGAUCCACGUCUAAGGAGAUCUUCGAUCCAGUUAUUAGGACAUCUGGCAACAUCCCUUGGCCAGAAGACCAAUUUGGAGGCAUUCAAGGAGCAGAUCCAAGGGAACCUCAUCACUUUACUCUUGCAUCUAUGCGAUCCAGACGUGUAUGUUGUCAAGGCCUGUAAAAGUACGAUCCAGAAGGUCGGCCCUUAUCUGGAUUGUCUGGAGGUAAACCGCAUGAUCCAGGAGUGUUGGGCGACGACACCGAUUUGAUGUUCACGGAUUUUAUUAAGGAGUUAAUUAAACGCAUGGGAUUUAUGGAAUCAAUGAUAUCAAGGGUAUUUGGGGGUCAAAUCGAGGACGAAUUGGUUUAAAGGUCGUCUCUAAGGGCCAAAUACCGCCCUUGUCACCGGUUUGUUCUACGCCAAAGUUUCACUGGAAACUGUCUGCGAUAAACUGAUCAGACUGAUGCAAGACGAGUCAGAAGAAGUUAGGAUUAAGGCAGGUCAAGCUAUAUCGUGUUUGUUUUUAUAAUUAUUGUAGAACGGAAUGUGCUAAGGGGAUAGUAUGAUUAAGUCUUUUUAAUCAGUUUUUAGUAAGAAAUUUUAAAAAAUGUCAUUAGGGGUCAAAUCUGGCUUGUGGGAGGACUUUGUAGUUUAUAAAUUUAUCUCUGUCGCACUCAUAAUAAAAAAAAACUUGGAACGUGGAAAAACUAAAAUUUCACGAAUUUUAUUAGUUUAAAAAUUUUGCAUACCUUUUUUGUUAUUAAAGAUAGAGCCUUCAUUUAAAAACCGUCAAGUGCUCCUUGUGAAGGGGCAUCUUGUACGUAAUUAUCAAAAACUCAAAAAUUUACGGUUUUUGAGAAAAAUCGAAAUUUCGGUAUUUUACCAUUAACAUGUACUUUAUUAGAUCGAAAAUCUUGCAUAACUUUUUUGGUAUUAAAGAUAGAGCCUUCAUUUAAAAAGUGUCAAGUGCUCCUUGUGAAGGAGCAUCUUGUACGUAAUUAUCAAAAAGUGAAAAAUUACGGUUUUUGAGAAAAAUCGAAAUUUCGGUAUUUUACUAUUAACAUGUACUUUAUUAGAUCGAAAAUCUUGCAUAACUUUUUUGGUAUUAAAGAUAGAGCCUUCAUUUAAAAACCGUCAAGUGCUCCUUGUGAAGGGGCAUCUUGUACGUAAUUAUCAAAAAGUGAAAAAUUACGGUUUUUGAGAAAAAUCGAAAUUUCGGUAUUUUACUAUUAACAUGUACUUUAUUAGAUCGAAAAUUUUGCAUAACUUUUUUGGUAUUAAAGAUAGAGCCUUCAUUUAAAAACCGUCAAGUGCUCCUUGUGAAGGAGCAUCUUGUACGUAAUUAUCAAAAAGUGAAAAAUUACGGUUUUUGAGAAAAAUCGAAAUUUCGGUAUUUUACUAUUAACAUGUACUUUAUUAGAUCGAAAAUCUUGCAUAACUUUUUUGGUAUUAAAGAUAGAGCCUUCAUUUAAAAAGUGUCAAGUGCUCCUUGUGAAGGGGCAUCUUGUACGUAAUUAUCAAAAACUGAAAAAAUUAUAGUUUUUGAGAAAAAUCGAAAUUUCGGUAUUUUACCAUUAACAUGUACUUUAUUAGAUCGAAAAUCUUGCAUAACUUUUUUGUUAUUAAAGAUAGAGCCUUCAUUUAAAAAGUGUCAAGUGCUCCUUGUAAAGGGGCAUCUUGUACGUAAUUAUCAAAAACUGAAAAAUUUACGGUUUUUGAGAAAAAUCGAAAUUUCGGUAUUUUACCAUUAACAUGUACUUUAUUAGAUAGAAAAUGUUGCAUAACUUUUUUGUUAUUAAAGAUAGAGCCUUCAUUUAAAAAGUGUCAAGUGCUCCUUGUGAAGGGGCAUCUUGUACGUAAUUAUCAAAAAGUGAAAAAUUACGGUUUUUGAGAAAAAUCGAAAUUUCGGUAUUUUACUAUUAACAUGUACUUUAUUAGAUCGAAAAUCUUGCAUAACUUUUUUGUUAUUAAAGAUAGAGCCUUCAUUUAAAAACCGUCAAGUGCUCCUUGUGAAGGGGCAUCUUGUACGUAUUUAUCAAAAACUCAAAAAUUUACGGUUUUUGAGAAAAAUCGAAAUUUCGGUAUUUUACCAUUAACAUGUACUUUAUUAGAUCGAAAAUUUUCCAUAACUUUUUUGGUAUUAAAGAUAGAGCCUUCAUUUAAAAAGUGUCAAGUGCUCCUUGUGAAGGAGCAUCUUGUACGUAAUUAUCAAAAAGUGAAAAAUUACGGUUUUUGAGAAAAAUCGAAAUUUCGGUAUUUUACUAUUAACAUGUACUUUAUUAGAUCGAAAAUCUUGCAUAACUUUUUUGUUAUUAAAGAUAGAGCCUUCAUUUAAAAACCGUCAAGUGCUCCUUGUGAAGGGGCAUCUUGUACGUAUUUAUCAAAAACUCAAAAAUUUACGGUUUUUGAGAAAAAUCGAAAUUUCGGUAUUUUACCAUUAACAUGUACUUUAUUAGAUCGAAAAUUUUCCAUAACUUUUUUGUUAUUAAAGAUAGAGCCUUCAUUUAAAAACCGUCAAGUGCUCCUUGUGAAGGGGCAUCUUGUACGUAAUUAUCAAAAAGUGAAAAAUUACGGUUUUUGAGAAAAAUCGAAAUUUCGGUAUUUUACUAUUAACAUGUACUUUAUUAGAUCGAAAAUUUUGCAUAACUUUUUUGGUAUUAAAGAUAGAGCCUUCAUUUAAAAACCGUCAAGUGCUCCUUGUGAAGGGGCAUCUUGUACGUAUUUAUCAAAAACUCAAAAAUUUACGGUUUUUGAGAAAAAUCGAAAUUUCGGUAUUUUACCAUUAACAUGUACUUUAUUAGAUCGAAAAUUUUCCAUAACUUUUUUGUUAUUAAAGAUAGAGCCUUCAUUUAAAAACCGUCAAGUGCUCCUUGUGAAGGGGCAUCUUGUACGUAAUUAUCAAAAAGUGAAAAAUUACGGUUUUUGAGAAAAAUCGAAAUUUCGGUAUUUUACUAUUAACAUGUACUUUAUUAGAUCGAAAAUCUUGCAUAACUUUUUUGGUAUUAAAGAUAGAGCCUUCAUUUAAAAAGUGUCAAGUGCUCCUUGUGAAGGGGCAUCUUGUACGUAAUUAUCAAAAACUGAAAAAAUUAUAGUUUUUGAGAAAAAUCGAAAUUUCGGUAUUUUACCAUUAACAUGUACUUUAUUAGAUCGAAAAUCUUGCAUAACUUUUUUGUUAUUAAAGAUAGAGCCUUCAUUUAAAAAGUGUCAAGUGCUCCUUGUAAAGGGGCAUCUUGUACGUAAUUAUCAAAAACUGAAAAAUUUACGGUUUUUGAGAAAAAUCGAAAUUUCGGUAUUUUACCAUUAACAUGUACUUUAUUAGAUAGAAAAUGUUGCAUAACUUUUUUGUUAUUAAAGAUAGAGCCUUCAUUUAAAAAGUGUCAAGUGCUCCUUGUGAAGGGGCAUCUUGUACGUAAUUAUCAAAAAGUGAAAAAUUUACGGUUUUUGAGAAAAAUCGAAAUUUCGGUUUUUUACAAUUAACAUGUACUUUAUUAGAUCGAAAAUAUUGCAUAACUUUUUUGGUAUUAAAGAUAGAGCCUUCAUUUAAAAACUGUCAAGUGCUCCUUGUAAAGGGGCAUCUUGUACGUAAUUAUCAAAAACUGAAAAAUUUACGGUUUUUGAGAAAAAUCGAAAUUUCGGUAUUUUACCAUUAACAUGUACUUUAUUAGAUCGAAAAUGUUGCAUAACUUUUUUGUUAUUAAAGAUAGAGCCUUCAUUUAAAAAGUAUCAAGUGCUCCUUGUGAAGGGGCAUUUUGUACGUAUUUAUCAAAAACUGACAUGUACCCCUCUAAUCAUAGAGCGUCUAUUAUCUUUACCAAAAACGCUGAAAUAUUGACGAUUUUUGUGAAAAAGUGAAAUAUUUAAAUUUCCGAUAUUAAUAGAAGGUGGUACGAACCAAAACUACUGUAGCUCAGUUAAUUUUGCACCAAAAAAAUGUUUCAUAUAGGAAAAUCAUCUUCAGGGAUCCCUCUAAAGUUUCUUAUAAAAAUUACAUAAAUCCCACAACAACUCUUUGAGUUGCCCUCAAAUUUGCGCCUCUAUAUUCAUGUUAAAUCUCCUAAAAUUCAAUUUUUAACUUCCAAGGUCCACCUUUUGCAAACCUAUGUGUAACUUAAAAAGUUUUUAUGCUACAAAAAUUCUUUAUAUACGAAAAUGUUCCCUAUGAAUUGCCUCAACUUUAAGUGAAAGCCUCACUCAAAUCCCUCAAAUAGUUUUUGAGUUAUCAUGGAGGGAAUUGAGAUUUUUAUAGGUAAAGGUGCUACGAGCCAAAAACGCUGUAGCUCAGUUAGUUUCUUAUCUAAAAAAAUGUUUCGUACAGGAAAUUAAUCUGCAGGGAUCCCUCUUCAGGUACUUAAGAAAAUUAUGAAAAUCCUUCAAUAACUUUUUGAGUUACACUCAAAUUUGUCUCUAUAUAUUCCUAUGACCUAAAAUUCAAUAUUUACCAUUCUAAGUUCAGCAAAUUUAUUAGUUUUUAAUUUUAGGGUAAAUUAGGUUUGACUAGUAAGUCUUCCUGAAGGUUAUUAUUCCUGUUUCUUUUUUACAGUAAAUCUAACAUUUGAUGAACAUGGCAAAAAACAGACAUUUCACUUUUACUCAUAAACCAUCAAUUUUUCAGCGUUUUUGGUAAUUACAUAAAAGAUGCUCCUUCACUUGGUGCACAUGUCGUUCUUUAAAUGAAAGCUCUAUCUUCAACAACAAAAAAGUUAUUGCACAUUUUCCUUAGGUAAUAUAAUGAGUUAGACAAAGAUAUUAUUAUUAAGUAUACUUACCCCAUAUACUUUUGUAAGGAGGAGGGGAUAAAUAAAAUUUUCCUAUGUGAUAUUUAGUAAGUACCAUUUAUUGUAUCCAAUAGACUGUUAGGAAUAGAACGCUUUGAAUCUUUAUAGUUAAGUGGACAUUAAAUAAUAAUAAAAUAUUAAUAAACUUGA